UGUUCCAGGCGCCGGAGCACUGUGUCACACCCGAGGUGACGGAAGGGAAAGUGUUGUCCUCACUGCACAGAGCCGAGUUUGAGGCUCGGCAGUGUCGCUGCCCGGUGUCACCCGCCGCGGGGGCCGGGCUGGGGACCACGGAGUUCGGGUCCACCCCCCCACCCCACCCCCGUGUCUCCCGGCCUAACUCCGCCAGCAGGCUCUGAUGGCGGCGGCUGCGCUGUUGGACCCGGCGCAGGGAUCAGCGACCAUUGAGGAUGUGGCCAUGACCUUCCCUUGGAGGUCCUGGCCCAAAAGACUGAGCCCAAAGGUCCCUGUACCAGGAGGUGAUGCUGCAGACCUAGAUAACCUCUCACUGGUCCGGCUUUCCUGCAUGGGCAUCCUGGAGGCAGGAAAGGACCACCUGAGCCUCUCUUUCCCUCACCUUCUCACCCCAGUGCCCAUCAUAGGCUGGCCUCAAUCUGAGAUCCUUAUCCCAGAUUUCCACAAGAAGGAAGCUGGCUGGCCCAGGGGUCAGAGGGUCCUCAGAGCCCCCACAGCAGGGGCCCUUGGUGAUGAACUAUUUUCCAAGAAGAAAGGUGAGCCUGGCGUCCAGAAGGCAUUUACCGUUACUGCCCCUUGGUAUCCUUUAGCGGAAAACACAGUCUCAGUUAAAGGUUUAAAGCUCGGGGGCGCCUGGGUGGCUCAGUCAUUAAGCGUCUGCCUUCGGCUCAGGUCGUGAUCCCGGGGUCCUGGGAUCGAGUCCCUCAUCGGGCUCCCUGCUCCGUGGGAAGCCUGCUUCUCCCUCUCCCACUCCUCUUGCUUGUGUUCCCUCUCUUGCUGUGUCUCUCUCUGUCAAAUAAAUAAAAUCUUAAAAAAAAAAAAAAAAAAAAGGUUUAAAGCUUGGUUGUUCCCAGAGGCCUACCUCCCAGGGCUGUUCUUCAUUUCCUAUGGUAUGGACCAAGAUCCUCCAGUUACACGAGAUGACUGUAGAGGAUGCACAGACCACUCAUCAAAUGGCACUGGCAUCUGGAAAAAACUGUUCCUUUCUCCCCCUUUUCUUGUGGGUUCAGUGUCAAGAGAAGAAGCUACCAUUCCGCGAGUGUAGCUCACGUGUCACACCUGCCCCACUCAUUUCAUUAUCCCAGCCUCUCAGGGUUUGGUAAGGAAGGAAAAGUCGGCCAGUAUAGUGAGUCUCAAUUUAGAAGAUGGCCCUUGACU